rnacentral:rRNA from 1 species
AUUGAACGCUGGCGGCAGGCCUAACACAUGCAAGUCGAACGAGUGGCGGACGGGUGAGUAAUGUCUGGGAAACUGCCUGAUGGAGGGGGAUAACUACUGGAAACGGUAGCUAAUACCGCAUACCAUCGGAUGAACCCAGAUGGGAUUAGCUUGUUGGUGGGGUACAGGCUCACCAAGGCGACGCUCCCUAGCUGGUCUGAGAGGAUGACCAGCCACACUGGAACUGAGACACGGUCCAGACUCCUACGGGAGGCAGCAGUGGGGAAUAUUGCACAAUGGGCGCAAGCCUGAUGCAGCCAUGCCACGUGUAUGAAGAAGGCCUUAGGGUUGUAAAGUACUUUCAGCGGGGAGGCGUUACCCGCAGAAGAAGCACCGGCUAACUCCGUGCCAGCAGCCGCGGUAAUUC